rnacentral:rRNA from 1 species
UACACUCCUGCGGGAGGCAGCAGUGGGGAAUUUUGGACAAUGGGCGAAAGCCUGAUCCAGCAAUGCCGCGUGAGUGAAGAAGGCCUUCGGGUUGUAAAGCUCUUUUGUCAGGGAAGAAACGGUGAAAGCUAAUAUCUUUUGCUAAUGACGGUACCUGAAGAAUAAGCACCGGCUAACUACGUGCCAGCAGCCGCGGUAAUACGUAGGGUGCAAGCGUUAAUCGGAAUUACUGGGCGUAAAGCGUGCGCAGGCGGUUUUGUAAGUCUGAUGUGAAAUCCCCGGGCUCAACCUGGGAAUUGCAUUGGAGACUGCAAGGCUAGAAUCUGGCAGAGGGGGGUAGAAUUCCACGUGUAGCAGUGAAAUGCGUAGAUAUGUGGAGGAACACCGAUGGCGAAGGCAGCCCCCUGGGUCAAGAUUGACGCUCAUGCACGAAAGCGUGGGGAGCAAACAGGAUUAGAUACCCUUGUAGUCCCAUGAU